ensembl:lncRNA
CCGGUCCACAGCGAGGAACCAACAGAGGCCAUGCCACCCGGAAACCAGCCUCCGGAUUCAUCAGAACACCGUCAUAUUGGGAGGAGGCUCUCUGGAGGCUGAACACAGUAAGAGGAACUACUGAGGCACUCAGACAGACGUCUCUCUCUGUCCUCAGACAGACAGACGUCUCUCUCUGUCUCACAAGGUCAUGCUGUCCCCUCAUGCUCUUCGACCUCUCUGACCCAGCUGACGGAGGCCAGCUGAUGGAGGCCAGCUGACGGAGGCCUGCUGACGGAGGCCUGCUGCCCAUCAGUUAUUGUCGCGAUAACAACAAUACCUGGUGUCUUGCGAUCGGUAAGAUGGCUGGAUGAUCAGCACUACUCGCAACAACUGGGACAGCCAGCGUCAUUGAGAACCCUGGACAAACACAUACACACACACGCACGGCCAAAGGGGAAAAUAGAGUGGGCGGGGCCUCCAGAUAAGCUGCUCUCAGGAACAAUGAGGCUGCUGCUGACGUUAGCCGCGGACAUGCUAACAUGAG